CCUAUUAGGGCUCCAAAAGAAGCCACAAUAAAUUGUCCUUUCUUUUUCAAAUCUCUGUGUGUUUUAAAGCAGGAGAUGAAAGUGAAAAGUAAUGAGAACUCUGGUGGAAGUGAAAUGUGUCCCUUUUAAGACAGUCUCUGAACUGCUGAUCGCUUUGGAUCCAGAGGCAAGCCAAGAAAGCCUCUGUGUAAAUGCAAAUUACCUAACUGAUGGGGGAAGAAGAAAACUACCCAUAAGUAGCAGCACAAAAAAUCUGGAAAUAAUAAAUCCAUCUGGUCAGCAAACAAGCUACUAGAAGACUCAGAUUAUGGCCCUCCAGAAGAGGGAGACACUCUACAAGCAUGCUGGCGCCAGCGAAAGAAUAACCCAGAAUACUAUGAAUCUAUGUUUUGCGUUGUUUGUCUGUGGUGUUUGUCUUGUUGCUAGCAUGACGUGGGUGGCGGAUGGCUUCAAAAGGCUGACAGGGGUGGAAAAUGUGUACGAAAAUGCAAAAUGCUCAACGAGGAGGCCAGCACCUGUGUAACAGCUACCAUGGUACCUGAAAAUAGAACGGCAACUAAAAUGAUGCUUGCUAAAAGUUUACCCCAAUAAACAUCAAAUUGUUUGCGCCUUUGAA